CCUACGGGUGGCAGCAGUGGGGAAUAUUGCACAAUGGGGGAAACCCUGAUGCAGCGACGCCGCGUGAGUGAAGAAGUAUUUCGGUACGUAAAGCUCUAUCAGCAGGGAAGAAAAUGACGGUACCUGACUAAUAAGCCCCGGCUAACUACGUGCCAGCAGCCGCGGCAAUACGUCGGGGGCAAGCGUUAUCCGGAUUUACUGGGUGUAAAGGGAGCGUAGUCGGCAGCGCAAGUCUGGAGUGAAAUCCGAUGGUUUAACCAUGGAACUGCUUUGGAAACUGUGCAGCUUGAGUGCAGGAGAGGUAAGCGGAAUUCGUAGUGUAGCGGUGAAAUGCGUAGAUAUUAGGAGGAACACCAGUGGCGAAGGCGGCUUACUGGACUGUAACUGACGUUGAGGCUCGAAAGCGUGGGGAGCAAACAGGAUUAGAUACCCCGGUAGUC
rnacentral:rRNA from 1 species